ACUUGCCAUGUCACGUUGCCAGUUGCCGACCGCCACAUGGUAUGCAUGUCAACCGCCACGUGGCAUGCAUGUUGGCUGUCACGUGGCAUGCAUGCCGACCACUACAUGAUGCACAUGCAUGCCCUCUUUUGGGCUAUUUGAAGCUUUCAUUCUCCCCUCCUCUCUUAUUUCUCCAUUUUUCUUCUUCUUCUUAAUUUGGUCAGGAGUGAGAGAGAGAUUAGAGAGAGAAAUUAUAGAGAGAAAAUGCUAGAGAGAGACAGAACCAAAGAAGACUGAAAAAACUUUCCUUUUCACACAGUAAGCCUUCUUCUUUUCUCAAUUUCAUUUCUCCACUAAGAUUACUAAGAACACAUUCUUGGAACUCUUUAUUUCCUUAACUUUCAUAAAUUACUUCUAAGAACUACAGGUUGUCGAGCAAACUUCCUUCUCCUUCAAAUCCGUAAACAACCUCAUUUUUGGAAACCAAAAGAU
rnacentral:lncRNA from 1 species